UACGGAGGGGGCAAGCGUUGUUCGGAUUUACUGGGCGUAAAGGGCGCGUAGGCGGCUUUGUAAGUUACUUGUGAAAUCUCCGGGCUUAACUCGGAGCGGCCAAGUGAUACUGCAGAGCUAGAGUGUAGAAGGGGCAACUGGAAUUCUUGGUGUAGCGGUGAAAUGCGUAGAUAUCAAGAGGAACACCUGAGGCGAAGGCGGGUUGCUGGGCUAACACUGACGCUGAGGUGCGAAAGCGUGGGGAGCGAACGGG
rnacentral:rRNA from 1 species